rnacentral:lncRNA from 1 species
GUAUUUGAGGCGACGGCGAUAAGGAAUUUCCCUGAUUCAGCGUUUCAGGCGCCGGCGAUAUAGUCAUCUUCCAUCUCACGUCUGAAGAUUUGAAGCUGCGGUAUCACAUCAACGAUUGGAGCACCAAGCUAUUCCUCCACAAAAGGUAAUAGAUUGUAUGAUUAUUUCAUCCCUGCUGUCAUUUUGUCAAGUUUUCGAAAUUGAAAGGAUCGAUUGUAUUGGUCUUGGCUUGUGUGUGUCUACGUGUGGGUUAUCUAUAGUGGUUUCAUUUCCCGUGUUAGGUCAAGUUUAAGGUCAGUUUCAAUUUAAUUGUGCAUGUGUAUGUCAGAAGGUUUCGUCUAUUUAGUUAGUAUUAAUGUUCUUAUGUCGAUUGUAAUUUAAUGUUCUUAUUUCAUGUACAGAUUGUAUGAUUCUUUUAUCCUGUCAUUCGUUUCAUCAAGUAUAGGGUUGGAAGUUUCGAAUUUUGAAGGGCUUGGAUUGUGUGUGUCUGCAAAAAACUUAUUUCCAUGAGGUUUUGGUGGCCCUUCUUUUGUUGUAGUCACUGCUCCCUUUGGGAAUUAUGCAGCCACAAGUUAUUGGGGGCUAUUUAUUCAAAAAUGACAUUAAUCGCUACCAUCUAUUUACUUUAUGAUUAUUUAUCAAAAAAUGACAGCGGUCGAUUACUAUUUUUGCUGCCAUCUUGUCUUACUUGUUGCCAUCUUGCAUUAGUGGCUUACUUGCGACUUAUUUAUCCUAAAAGUGAUAUUGCUACUUCACCUAAUUUGGCUCGGUUGUUGUUUUAUUUGGGACAGCAACAAAGGGGAAUUGCCACGAAGCACAAAUUCAGAGGACAACUCCUAUACAGAGGUAUUGUAAUGCGAACUUACUUCAUAAACUGCGUGAAUAUGACAGUUUAGGAGUUGAGCAGCAUGUGUGUUAUUUAUCUUUUUUGGACAAAAUCGAUUUUCCCGUUGGCUGGCAGUAUAUUAUUUGAUCGAAGGAAAUUCAAUUGCCGUUUCUGCGACCUCUCUAUUUCAUUAGACGAACUCUAUUUGAUGUCAACGUGACUACAUUUGCUGUCAUUAAAGUUAGAUAGCGUGGGCUGUUAGUUUAUUUAUUCUUUUGGUUUUUACAGUUUUUGAUCAUUUCAUUAUGAAAAUAAACUGAUGGAGUUAUGGGUCCCUACUUUUUUGGUUGAUAGGCAAUUGCAUUACCUGUUACAGCUGCUAUUACGACCGUUGUAUUGAAAAAUGCCUGGAAGGGAAGAUAGUCGAAUGCGUGAUAUUUCAUUCGUUGUUUUGCAAGAAAUUUUGCGCGUACAUGCGAUACAAGUUGCAUUGUUGUUUGUCUAUUAUUAUAAGACUAGACUAGGCAAAAGAAAGCGACGUACCGAACCCCUAAAAUAUGAGAUAAUACGUAAGUUGCCCGACCAAGAAAAUCAUUUAAGCCGUCUAGUUGGUCUUAAUGAUGACGACUGUAUUUCCAACCUUCGAAUGGACCGUAGAACUUUUGCUAGGCUUUGUGUUAUAUUGCGAGAACGGGGGGGGGUUUAGUUAACGGCCGGUUCGUGACUGUUGAGGAACAAGUAGCAAUGUUUCUUUCGAUUUUAGCCCACCA